rnacentral:rRNA from 1 species
UGGGACCUACGGGGGGCAGCAGUGGGGAAUAUUGCACAAUGGGGGAAACCCUGAUGCAGCAACGCCGCGUGAGUGAAGAAGUAUUUCGGUAUGUAAAGCUCUAUCAGAAGGGAAGAAGAUGACGGUACCUGACCAAGAAGCCCCGGCUAACUACGUGCCAGCAGCCGCGGUAAUACGUAGGGGGCAAGCGUUAUCCGGAUUUACUGGGUGUAAAGGGAGCGCAGACGGCAGUGCAAGUCUGGAGUGAAAGCCCGGGGCCAAACCCCGGAACUG